rnacentral:rRNA from 1 species
UACGUAGGGAGCAAGCGUUGUUCGGAUUUACUGGGCGUAAAGGGCGCGUAGGCGGCCAAUUAAGUCAGCUGUGAAAUCUCCGAGCUUAACUCGGAACUGUCAGCUGAUACUGAUCUGCUAGAGUGCGGAAGGGGCAAUCGGAAUUCUUGGUGUAGCGGUGAAAUGCGUAGAUAUCAAGAGGAACACCUGAGGUGAAGACGGGUUGCUGGGCCGACACUGACGCUGAGUGCGCGAAAGCCAGGGGAGCAAACGGG